AAAAGUGAGCAAACUACAAAUACAUACAAAAAUCUGGAUGAAAUGCACAAAUAUAAUUUUGAGUAAAAGAAGCCAGAUAGCCAGGUGUAAAAGCAUACAUACUGUGUGAGUCUACACAGAGUUCAAAAGCUGGACAAACUUAUCUACAUGUUGGAAGGGAGGUUGGUAGUUACCCUUGGGGAGUUGACUUGGGGAUGUGAGAACAUUUUGGGGGCUAGGGGCCGAGGUAGGGGCUGGAAAUGUUGAGUGUCUUCAGCUCAUUGCCGGUUACACAGGAGUGUGUUUGGUUUGGGAGAAUUCGUUGAGCUAUACACGUAUGACUUGUGCAUGUUUUUUCAUGUAUGUUAUAUAUUAACUGAAUGUAUUUAAAAAUAUUUAUGGGGUCCUGCUACAUAUAAACUGGACUUGACUCCAGGAAGCCAUCAGAAUCAAGAGAGAGCGAGGACGUGGCAUCAUGGAGCGAUCUACAUUCCAGGCCAUGCCGUGGACCUGGUGGGUGGCCUCAGGACUUGAAGUGGAGCCAUACAUUGGCUCUCCUGAGUCUCCACCUUCUUGACUGCAGAUUUGGGACUUCUCAGCCUCCAUAAAUGUUUUUCUUCUCCUAGGAUCCAGUCCUGAGAUCUCAGCUGCCAGCUAUUCCUGGAUAAGCAAAUGCUCUCAGGGGAAAGAGUCCUUGAUCCUCUGUGUUCAUGGAGAAGGAAAAACCGAAGUCACCCAGUGAGUCAAGGAUGAAAACCGAGGUCGUCCGUCUGACUUCCAGCCCGGAGGUCCGUCCCUUUUUGCUGAUCUUUGACCACUGAAAUGUACAUGCUAAUGAUUUAGAAAGAGGUGCUUAGGUCCUGAUUUGGGAAUUACAUAGCUUGGAUUUAUUCAUCGGUGUGCAAAUAUACAUACAUCUGCUAUAUAUGUAUAUGCAUUUAUUCACUCAGAUCAAUGAAUGAAUGAAUGAAUGAAUGAACUCAUUUGUUUAUUCAUUUACUGACUCAAAAAAUACUAUACUAUGUGCAGGAGAUGCAGCAGUGAGCAAGAGAGAUUUGGCCCUGCUUUUCCUGAGCUAGUAAAAGAUAUGGUUUCAGGUGACGUCUCAUGCUUCCAGUUGAUCCCAGGAGGAGCUCUGGAGUGUGAGUUGCACCCCAGAGUUGUUCUACCUUGGAGUAAAGAGGCUGGCCUUUUGCACCCUUAUAAUAGUCAAUUAUUGGCUGCAUGACACCAAUGUAGCCAAUUGGUGUAGAGGGGAGGGUGUACCCUCUGCAGGAUUUCCGGGUAAGGCAGCUCCUGUCCGCGGAGGGCCGGGUUAGCUGUGAGGUGCUGCUGUCUUAGCAGCCAACAUUCUCCACAGCCAGUGCUGGACUUACCAAUUUCCAUUACUAGUUUAAUGUACAUUUAAUGUACAACCAAGGGGGUUGGAUGCAUUGAUCUUUCAGAGGAGAUCUGAGUGAGGCAGGAAUGGUAUCUACUACAUGAGGAACGGAGCUUUAUCCUACUGGGAAAGUGGGGGAGGCAGUCCGGAAUUCAUACUUCUAUGUGAUCUCAAUUUGAGGGAUGAGGGAGCUGGGCUAUUUACCCACCGACCCCUGGCAGCCCUCACCGAAGGUGGCUCCCAGGGGAGGUUAAUUCUCAGCAUGGCCGGUGUGCAGCCACAGAGAGCUCCAGCAGCAGACAGAGUCACAUGCUGGAAGGUAGAGGUUGGGCAGAUGUGCUCAGAUGUGGCCGUGUGGGACGCCAAGAUCAUCUCCUCCAGGUGGCCUGGACCAAUCGGACGUAUCCCUCAGAAAUGUGGAAUGAGGAAGCUGGUGGAUGCUUGGAGUCUCAGGUCAGCCGAGGCACCAGAGCAAGGAAAUUACACCUGUGGCUGGAGUAGUCAUCAUGGCCUUUUGUGUGAUGAAAAUGUAUGGGCAUGAAGGUAAGGGGUCAUCAGCAUUGUUGGCCGGGACAGACCGGGAGUAGGGAUCUCUCUGCACAGAGAUGCUAGGAAGUCACUCGGGCAAGGAGGUGGCUGGCCGGGGACCUCACUUGGCUCCUGAUUGUUCUUUCACUUGUUCGUUCAUUCUACAGAUAUUUACUGAGGGACUAUGACAUGCUAAGCUUUGUGCUCAAUGCAGGGAAUGUGAAGGAGGAAUGAACCAGGCAGGGUCCUAGCUCUGUGGAGUUUAUAUUCUAUGUGUGUGUGGCAGGGAGAGGGGAUAAGUAAAUAAAUGUACAACAUAAUCAGAGAUCAGGUACCUUUAGUAAAGGAAACCAGCAGGGUGCAGGGUAGAGAGUAUCUGAUGAUGAGGGUACUUUUGACAGGUGAUCAGAGGCAGAUUCUGAUCAUCCCCACUUUACAGAUGAGGGAACUGAGGCUUUAGAGGAUAAGGAACUUGCCCAAGCGCAUUCAGCUAGUAAGUGGCCCUCUCUGUAGAUUCCGUCUGUCUCGUGUAAUACCUUCUACUCUUGGCUCUGUUAAUUCCUUGAGCCAACACGGGUUAGAUCCACUCUUUCUGCUUUCCCUGUCAAUGAUUUUAUGAUUUGGAGACCAUGACACCGACCCUCUUGAAUCCCUGCCCAGACCCUUCUGGGCAUGCACUGGUCUGGGAUGAGCUGUGACUAACAGGCUUGGGGCCAGCCUCACAUUGCCGCUGUCAGGGUCCAGGAGACUAGAGUGGCUCUGGGGACAGGGAGACUCACCCCAGCCCACCACUUCUUCACCGUGGGACUUUGGACGAAUGACCUCACUUCUCCAAGUCCCAGUUUCUUCCUCUGUCACAUACUGACACCAAUUGUCUCUACCUCCUGGAACUAUCGUGAAGAUUAAAUGAGCUGAUGCUUGUGUAAGAUUUGGCGCCAUGCCCAGGGCAGAGUAAACACUCACGUCAGGCUCGGUGGGGGCAACAGCUGCCCCCAGAUAUUCUGAUCACCUGUCGGAGGGUCUGAAGGGGCCGGGGAAGGCAGGUACUCUCAGCCCUGGUCUUCAAGAGCCUCAGCCCCUGAGUGACCCUGAACCAGAGCUGCGGGUGGAGAAGAGCCAAUUUCCUGACUUUGGGUCAGGACUGCCAAAGCCAAUUAGGGAAGUCAGACGGGCGGCAGCCUCCAGCACCCAAGCAAACCGAUGUGGCAGCCAGUGGAGGGGCCGGCUUGCUCUGACCUUAAACCCGAAUGCUCCUGCCCACAUCUGCAGCUAAAUAAACCAAGUAAAUCAUGCUGGCAGAUAGAUAAUUAAAUAAUUAUCAGGCACUUAAUAACAAGGAGUGGGUGUUCUGAAUUACCAUAUUAGACAGUGUCUUUGAAGACUAAUUGUUGCAUUACAUCAGAGUUACUCAUUCAUUAUUCUUGUCAUUUCGGGUGAUAAUUUGCACUUUAGGAGACAGCGACAAUUUUAGCAGGCAAUUAGAGACGUGUCAGGCCUGGCCCCGUGAGUUACUGUCACAAUUAUUGCCUUUUUUUCCCCGGGUCCUCAUUGGCAGCCAUGUAUUUAAGGGGAUUUGGGUAAUUCCAGGCCUGUGCAAAACAACCAACCCACGGGAUAGUGGCAGGGCAGGGAACACAGCAGCCGCCACCAUGGGAGCAAGGAAGGGGCGGCGUCCCGGCCGUGGUAGUGCGAAGCCAGGGCCGGCAGGCAGAGCCGAGCAGGGCUGUCGGAGCCUCAUCCAGUCAACGAGCGUGCUCCCUCCUAAGUAGUUGGUGACGCUGCCUGUUUCUCUCCUGGCUUCUUGUCACCCACUCAACAAGGCUUCUGUGACUGCUUACCUGAACCUUUGCAACGAGCUCUCACAGGUCUUGGGGAGACAGAAGGGAGGAGAGAAUCAAGAAGGGGGAACAGAGAAGAGGAGAGGGGAAGGAAGAAACGAGAGGAAGGAAAAAAGAUGUAGAAAUCCCGUUUUUAACUUUCUAUCUUUGAUGAGGCUUGGGAACUGUGGGGACCUUGAGGAUCCCAGGAGGGAGUGCCCCUCCUGGGUUUAGGUAAUUGCUAGAGAUAGCAAACCACUUCCCUUCUGAGGAAGCCUUUGAUACGCAAACCAACCAAUCCUGAGUCUAUUUAUCAAGGUCCUACCUCCAGGACCCUAUCCCAGUGCUCCAGCUCACCCCAGGGCCAGGAACCAGGCAGCUAGGGACCUCCCCUGCAGCCCAGAGUCUGCUGAAUGUAUUCACAAUGGCCAAUGCUAAGUCUGCCUACCCUGGCUCACUUGUUCUUUCCGGCAAAAUCCACGACAUUGUUAUCACUGCUGUUUCUGAGACAGAGUCUCGCUCUGUCUCCCAGGCUGGAGUACAGUGGCACAAUCUUGGCUCGCUG